UGCCUAACACAUGCAAGUGGAGCGACGAACCGGGGCUUGCCCCGGGGCAGAGCCGCGAACGGGUGAGUAACACGUGGGUUACCUGCCCCGAUGACUGGGACAACCCGUCGAAAGACGGGCUAAUACCGGAUGUGCCCCUUGGGGGAAAGGAAGCUUCGGCCUCCGCAUCAGGAUGGGCCCGCGGCGCAUUAGCUUGUUGGUGGGGUAAUGGCUUACCAAGGCGACGAUGCGUAGCUGGUCUGAGAGGACGAUCAGCCACACUGGGACUGAGACACGGCCCAGACUCCUACGGGAGGCAGCAGUGGGGAAUCUUGCACAAUGCGCGAAAGCGUGAUGCAGCAACGCCGCGUGCGGGAAGAAGGCCUUAGGGUUGUAAACCGCUUUCAGUUGGGACGAAGCUUCGGUCGUGAAUAGCGGUUUGGAGUGACGGUACCUUCAGAAGAAGCGCCGGCUAACUACGUGCCAGCAGCCGCGGUAAUACGUAGGGCGCGAGCGUUGUCCGGAAUCAUUGGGCGUAAAGCGCGUGUAGGCGGCUGAGUAAGUCUGCUGUGAAAGUCCAGGGCUCAACCCUGGAAUGUCGGCGGAUACUGCUCAGCUGGAGUACGGGAGGGGCGAGUGGAAUUCCUGGUGUAGCGGUGGAAUGCGCAGAUAUCAGGAGGACACCUAUGGCGAAGGCAGCUCGCUGGAACGUUACUGACGC
rnacentral:rRNA from 1 species